AUCUGCGGAGGAGUGUUCUCCCGGAGAUGCACUCUGCUUCCGACCUCGGGUCCCAAGACAAACGAGGCGUGGGCGCACAUCGAGGCGGUGUGGCGUUCCGCACCAUCUUCUCUCUUCUCUUUCCUUUUCAGCUAAGCUGGAAACCUGCUGACGCCAGCAGCCUGGCUUCCCUUCAUUCCCACCACAAUCUGUAGCACAGAACCGGCAAAGCUCUAGAAGUCAGGUAAAGGGAACGGUUUUGCCAGGUGCUCAGUGUGCCCGGGAUGAUGGAUUUGGUAACCUCUGUAACCCUCCGAGGCACGUUUGUGUCUGCACUGACCAUGUGGGAGCAGAAAACUGGCUAAGCUGUGCACGUCCACUCUUCCUGGAGGUGAAGGAGCAAGAAUGAGAAGAGGGACCUGGCGACCCCUGCUGAACUUUUCACCAGGGCUGAGCCUGGCCCCAAAGCCGGGUGUGUAGCGGUGGGCUCGGCAGUGCGUGUGCCAGCUGGGAACCAGGGACACAGGGGUUCACCGUGGUCAAGAGGCGCUGAGGGGCUACCUGCCUGCAUCCCAGACUCGCCUCCACCCCUUUUCCAGACCUGGCAUGAAGUUUUCACUGUGGAUCCCCGGGUCACGAGAAAUGGAACAUAGACACCACAGUGGGGAUCUCCAGGUACUCGUUGUUGCCAGAUUGGACAUUGUUUCUGUCCAGGAGAAAAUAAAAUUCUGGAACAUAAAAUCCAUUGAAGAAGGACCAUCCUAGACUUUCCCCACACUGUGGGAGAACGGACGCCACGAGAGAGAGGACUUCACGUCUUCCCAGAGGUCUCCAGCAUCCUUCAACCCUGGUGCCAACAACCUUUGCUCUGACCCUGUGUUCUGUUUCCAGAAAUCAUUUCUUUAAACUUGAUUAAAAUAUCUUACAGCAUAACAUGUUCUGCUACUUGCUUUUCCACUCAAAAUUGUUUC